rnacentral:tRNA from 1 species
GGCCUAGUUGCUCAGUUGGUACAGCUCUCGCGAUACCAAAGCGAGGGUGACAACCAUGCGUGGGUUCGAGUCCAGCCGAGGCCA